CGGACGGAUGGACAGACAGACAGAGAGGAAUAGCAGAAACAGAUACAGACACACAUACAACAGACAGUCCACUCCUUCCAAGCUCCAGACUGCAGUAGUGAUGGGAGCGAUUAUCUCAUAAUAAUAAACCGUGGGAGGAACAAGACGAGCGGGAGGAGAGGGAGAAGAAAGAAAGAGGGUCUCUGCGGAGUAGCUCAUGGGCCAACACACGUGUCACUCUGGCCCGGCACGGAUCAACGCCAACGUUCAUUCCCAUCAUCCUGAUGUCUUGGACCUCCAUCGGAACGCCGGGAAUGCACGGAAUCAUGUCACACAUUUAAACAAGUUCUGAUUUCAUUCAGACACUCUGUGUGUUUAACAUCUGCCCGUGGGCCUGAACCUCUCAGCACCCACUGCAGUCUGUCUGUCAGCCAUUACGACACUACCACAGUCGCACAGAAAGCACCCCACCAACCACUCACCCCCUGCAACUGCUCAGCUAUGACAGAGACAGGGCAGUAAACUGAGGUACAGUUAAACCAUGACCACGACACAGCACUUUGACAGACAUGUAGCCACUGAGAGAG
ensembl:lncRNA